GCCCGGCUAGCUCAAUCGGUAGAGCGUGAGACUCUUAACAUCACGUGAUCAUCUCAAGGUUGUGGGUUCGACCCCCACGUCGGGCU